ACAUCUCUCGCAGGCCACGCCCCGCGCACCUGUGCGCCAGGUUCUGCUGGAGAGAGCGGAGCUGAGUGCGUUUGUUCCGCGUCUUUUACGAUUAUUUUCUGUUUUUCCUUUAUUUGAAUAUAGAUAAAAUUUAACUCAUGUAAUUAUGUAGUCUAAACCUCGCAGGAAAAAGUGAUAAAAAUCUAUCUUGCAACGAAUACUUGUUAGUUUUAAUGGUCUUUAAAUUCUGUAUUUGUUUGUCUUCGGGCAGGACAUGUUUGGCUCAGCUGCUGCAAUUAUCCAAUUCGGUGUCUGCGGGCAGGACAUACUUGGCUCAGCUGGUGGAAUUAUCGAUGAAUUGCAACGAAGUUCCAGUCUUCAUUCCGGUCGCUGCCUCGACAGAAGCCUCGGUGAAACAGUAACGUGCUGUAUGUUUCUGUUUUAACAUGUAGUUGCUUGCAAAUGUUUUCUUACUCUGUUGACUUGUAACAGUAUUUGGCGUUAAUGUUUGUCGUGCUUUUACACUUUGUAAUUGAAAUCCGUGUUAAUUUUCACUUCGAAGCUUGUGCAUCCGACGUAUUGUAAUGCUUUGUUUUGUGUGCCAUAUUCGUUCAAUAAAUUGUUGA